rnacentral:misc_RNA from 1 species
AAAAGAAACACAAUGUUUAAAUGCCAGUUAAAUUGAGUAUUGGGGGAACAAAAAACCUACAUAUUAUGUUAGUGUACACAUCAUGUUCUAUCCUGCAUUACAGCUCCGAAUAGUUUCGCCUGCUCUACAUUUCCUAAUAAACACAAGUUUUGCUCUGCCAUUAAAUUAAACACUAACAGUAAAUUACAUAGCUGGAUUUGCUGACAAACUAAGCAUUACAUGUGCGCACAACUUAGUGGAAACUACUGAGAUAAGAUAAGCAUACAUAGCUACAUUAUUUUCUGGCAGUCAUGAACUGAAGAUACAAGUUUUCAGGCUUCAACCACUUGGCCAGCAGAUUGAUUUUCAUCUUUCUCAGCAUCACCGUCUCCAUCUUCAUCAUCAGCCUCGUCAGCUAGUUUAGUAAGCUCUUCUUGAAUCAUAAGUUUUAUAGAUGACUUCAUUUGGGUGAGAUCAGUAUCAAAUUGCUGAGCAAGUUGCUUCAGAAUGUCUGUGAAUGUAGCCGUAUUAAAAUCCACCUCCUUAAGAAUUUCACA